GCCAACGUCAGGGAAAGGAUUCUGCUGUCGGUCCCACUCCAAAGUUCACAGAAUGGGUGGUGGGCACAGAAUCUGGACUCUGCUUGUGGC
rnacentral:pre_miRNA from 10 species